GUUUUUUUUUCCUUUGAUUUGUGCAAAGAUCUUCACAAGUUUGAGGUUCAGCUAAUGCAAAUGGUGAAGGGUUGGUUUCAUGACCAUCACUUGGAUUCCAGGAAAUCAAGAUAACAUGAUUCAAGAGUAGAGUGUAAAAGCUUUCUGAUGAUAGGAGCUUCUUCCCACCCUGGUAAUGAGCAUGAUAGUAGGACGAGCACUGUCAAUCAUUGAUGUCUUCAUUUUUUUAAACCAAAACCAGUACGAACUUAAUGGCACAGUAAAAACACA
rnacentral:misc_RNA from 1 species